AUGGGUAGUUUUAUUAUGUUUCACCUCUUGCCAUGUUUAAUAACAUUUAAUAUUGUUGUGUACCUAAACGAGAGAGAACUAAAUAAGUCAUGUGGUGUUUCGUCAAUAUGCAACUCAUUGCAUAUUGAGCUCCACUUAACUUGUAGUAUUGUUUGUUGCACUUUGCCAUGCCAUGCCUCAUUAAACCGGACAUGCAUCAUACUUGUUUGUGCAUCAUGCCAUGUUUAUGUGAUGUUUGUUUACCAUGUUGUUUGCUUCUUUCCGGGUUGCCUUCGGUUUCGUUCCGGAGUUGUGAGGAAGUCGUUCGACUACUUCCACUUGUCUUCUUCAUGGACUCGUUCUUCUUCCUAG
rnacentral:rRNA from 1 species